GUUUAUUUGAUUGAUAAAUAUUGUAGAAGAGGAGGAAGAGAAGAACUGUGAUUUAGGGAGAAAGCUAACAGCCACAGAAACCGAGCCAGGUAAAGGAGAACCCUCCAGCUGUAUUUUAUUCCCUUCUUAGCUAGCACCAACUGGAGGAGCAAGACCCAUUCUGUCUUUGAGCAGCCGCUCCGCCAUCUUCUCGACAAGAUCUUGAGCUGCUCCAUGAUUGUGGCCCUUAUCCCUUCCCCUGGAUCCCUUUUUGCUACUACCCGUCAGUGAUGGACCCUGUAAAGACCCCACUGGGGCUGGAGCUGCUGCUGGCCCAAGCAGCCUCCCUUGUGGCUCCAGCAUGGCUCCUUUGUCUCACUUGGGCUCUUCAAAGACCGCGGACCCGGACUGGAGGUGCCACAUGUUCACCUCCAGAUUAACGUCUGCAGUGAUGUCUAAAUGAUCCGGCUGAAUGCCUGUCCUGUUGGAAAAGCCACGCCAGGGGAGUCUUCCAGAACGGCCGGCUCCAUUUCUUGAGUGCCUUGGAAGGGCUCAGGUGGGGCACUUAUGGUUCCUGUCUGUGCUGUGACAUCUGGACUCUGGCUCCAGUUUGAGCUCCGAUGGACGGCGUCUGAAGCUCCUGCUGGUCUCGGAAAGGCAUCUGAAAGCCACAAAGAACAAGACUGAUUCUCCUCCUUUUUAAGACCUUUUCUUUAACGGACAGUAUCCUGAUGGGUUGUUAUUUUUCUUAGAUAAAGACAAAUUGUUGCUUGAAAUAGUGUGGUAUCCCAAAGAUGCUCUUGAAUAAAAUUAACGUACCUAUAAUGACUAUGCUGAUGGAAGUGAGUUAAGAAUCCCAGACAUGAGGAAGUAAAUACAGGGAGAAGUUAUAGUCUUUGAAACAGGGAAAAUGUAACUGCCUGGGAACCAACAAAGGGAAGAUCUGUAGCCAGCAUGGUUGGGAUAAAGCAGCAUGUCUUCUUCCCCUCGAGCUACUCUGGGGCUCUGGCAUUGAUAGAGUUGAAGGGUUUCUUGGGCCCAUGCUUCCACCUCCUCCGGGGCCUCUCGUUCUCCCUCCCUACCCCACACUCCCCAGGCUUCCAGCCCCUUUGUGUCCCUCUU
rnacentral:lncRNA from 1 species